rnacentral:rRNA from 1 species
GAUAACGCUGGCGGCGUGCAUAACACAUUCAAGUCGAACGGACUGAUUCGAAGCUUGCUUUUGAUGAAAGUUAGUGGCGGACGGGUGAGUAACGCGUGAGCAACCUGCCUUUGCAUUCGGGAUAACAGCUGGAAACGACUGCUAAUACCGAAUAACGUACAUUGAUUGCAUGUUUAAUGUACCAAAGAUCCGUCGUGCAAAGAUGGGCUCGCGUCUGAUUAGAUAGUUGGUGAGGUAACGGCUCACCAAGUCAACGAUCAGUAGCCGGACUGAGAGGUUGAACGGCCACAUUGGAACUGAGAUACGGUCCAGACUCCUACGGGAGGCAGCAGUGGGGAAUAUUGGGCAAUGGGCGAAAGCCUGACCCAGCGACGCCGCGUGAGGGAAGAAGGUCUUCGGAUUGUAAACCUCUUUCAGCAGGGAAGAAGCAAGUGACGGUACCUGCAGAAGAAGUCACGGCUAACUACGUG